CGCCGUAAACGAUGAAUACUAGGUGUCGGGGGUCGAACCUCGGUGCCGCAGUUAACACAAUAAGUAUUCCGCCUGGGGAGUACGAUCGCAAGAUUAAAACUCAAAGGAAUUGACGGGGGCCCGCACAAGCAGCGGAGCAUGUGGUUUAAUUCGAAGCAACGCGAAGAACCUUACCUAGACUUGACAUCCCCUGCAUAACCCAGAGAUGGGCGAAGUCCUUCGGGACAGGGUGACAGGUGGUGCAUGGUUGUCGUCAGCUCGUGUCGUGAGAUGUUGGGUUAAGUCCCGCAACGAGCGCAACCCUUAUCAUUAGUUGCUACCAUUAAGUUGAGCACUCUAGUGAGACUGCCCGGGUUAACCGGGAGGAAGGUGGGGAUGACGUCAAAUCAUCAUGCCCCUUAUGUCUAGGGCUACACACGUGCUACAAUGAUGAGUACAAAGAGAUGCAAGAUCGCAAGGUGGAGCCAAACUCAAAAACUCAUCCCAGUUCGGAUUGUAGGCUGCAACUCGCCUACAUGAAGCCGGAGUUGCUAGUAAUCGCGAAUCAGCAUGUCGCGGUGAAUACGUUCCCGGGCCUUGUACACACCGCCCGUCACACCAUGAGAGUUGGUAACACCCGAAGUCCGUGAGGUAACCGUAAGGAGCCAGCGGCCGAAGGUGGGGUUGAUGAUUGGGGUGAAGUCGUAACAAGGUAACCGUA
rnacentral:rRNA from 1 species